rnacentral:pre_miRNA from 12 species
GCAAGUUGUGAAACAAUCCUGGUGUGGGACGGGGAGCCACACUGAGUUCACUCGAAUAUGAGAAACGAGUGAACACAGCUGGUGGUAUCUCAGUUUCAUGCCAGGCAUACCUACUCUAGGUCAU